AGACGUCUACAUUAGACUACCCCGUAGUCCCAGCCGUAAACUAUGCGCGUUAGGUGUAUCGGUGACCACGAGUUACCGAGGUGCCGAAGGGAAACCGUGAAACGUGCCGCCUGGGAAGUACGGUCGCAAGGCUGAAACUUAAAGGAAUUGGCGGGGAGCACCACAACAGGUGGAGCCUGCGGUUUAAUUGGACUCAACGCCGGGAAGCUCACCGGAUAGGACAGCAGAAUGAUUGCCGGGCUGAAGACCCUGCAUGACUAGCUG
rnacentral:rRNA from 1 species